rnacentral:rRNA from 1 species
GACGAAGGUGGCUAGCGUUGCUCGGAUUUACUGGGCAUAAAGCGCGCGUAGGUGGUUCUGUAAGCGAGGGAUGAAAUCCCAUGGCUCACCCAUGGAACUGUCCUUCGGACUGCAGAGCUCGAGGGUGGGAGGGGAGAGUGGAAUUCCCGGUGUAGCGGUGAAAUGCGUAGAUAUCGGGAGGAACGCCGGUGGCGAAAGCGACUCUCUGGCCCACUCCUGACACUGAGGCGCGAAAGCUAGGGGAGCAAACAGG